rnacentral:rRNA from 1 species
AAACUUUCAACAACGGAUCUCUUGGUUCUGGCAUCGAUGAAGAACGCAGCGAAAUGCGAUAAGUAAUGUGAAUUGCAGAAUUCAGUGAAUCAUCGAAUCUUUGAACGCACAUUGCGCCCUCUGGUAUUCCGGGGGGUAUGCCUGUUCGAGCGUCAUU